UACAGAGGGUGCGAGCGUUGUCCGGAAUUACUGGGCGUAAAGGGCUCGUAGGCGGCCAACUAAGUCAGACGUGAAAUCCCUCGGCUUAACCGGGGAACUGCAUCUGAUACUGGAUGGCUUGAGAUUGGGAGAGGGAUGCGGAAUUCCAGGUGUAGCGGUGAAAUGCGUAGAUAUCUGGAGGAACACCGGUGGCGAAGGCGGCAUCCUGGACCAACACUGACGCUGAGGAGCGAAAGCCAGGGGAGCAAACGGG
rnacentral:rRNA from 1 species